rnacentral:rRNA from 1 species
CCUACGGGAGGCAGCAGUGGGGAAUUUUGGACAAUGGGCGCAAGCCUGAUCCAGCCAUGCCGCGUGCGGGAAGAAGGCCUUCGGGUUGUAAACCGCUUUUGUCAGGGAAGAAAUCCUUUGGGCUAAUACCUCGGAGGGAUGACGGUACCUGAAGAAUAAGCACCGGCUAACUACGUGCCAGCAGCCGCGGUAAUACGUAGGGUGCGAGCGUUAAUCGGAAUUACUGGGCGUAAAGCGUGCGCAGGCGGUUAUGCAAGACAGAUGUGAAAUCCCCGGGCUUAACCUGGGAACUGCAUUUGUGACUGCAUAGCUCGAGUACGGCAGAGGGGGAUGGAAUUCCGCGUGUAGCAGUGAAAUGCGUAGAUAUGCGGAGGAACACCGAUGGCGAAGGCAAUCCCCUGGGCCUGUACUGACGCCCAUGCACGAAAGCGUGGGGAGCAAACAGGAUUAGAUACCCUGGUAGUCCACGCCCUAAACGAUGUCAACUGGUUGUUGGACGGCUUGCUGUUCAGUAACGAAGCUAACGCGUGAAGUUGACCGCCUGGGGAGUCGGCCGCAAGGUUGAAACUUAAAGGAAUUGACGGCUGAGACGNGCGAGACGACGACGAGGGAGGAGG